GCUUCCGUAGCUCAGUUGGUUAGAGCGCUAGCCUCACAUGCUAGAGGUCCCGAGUUCGACCCUCGGCGGGAGUA